AAAAUUCAUUUGGUAUGGAUGCAUCUCUUGAUCGUUCAUUAAAACUUCUUUGACAGCCUGUAUACCCUUCUCAUGGUCAAUUACAGUAUACAGAGACAUUACAUCUACCUUUGCCCAUAAAAACUCUCUCUUCCAGUUUUAACCUUCAACUUCUCUGGUUAUCUGGGCAGAAUCUUUUGUAUAAGACUGAGUUUGUGUUACAUAUUUUUGAAGAUAAAAAAGUCUAUAUAUUGGGAAAUGUUGCUAGUUAGAGAACCUAUCCCACUGAUGAUAGGUCUUCCAGGCGGAUUAUCCAAUCUCUU